GUUAAGAUGGAUGGCGUAAGCCAUCGGACUUUUAAUCCGCUGGUCGAGCGUUCGAAUCGCACACUACUCACCA
rnacentral:tRNA from 1 species